GGAUCGAGAGAGAGGAGAGAAUCAGAGUUCUCUCUCUGACCCGAAACGAAACCCAGAAACCGGCAACAGGGUCCGACCUACGCUACUUCGUCCGGCCACCGAUCAACGACGGACGACCACCAUCUUCUUUGCCUCUUUGUCGCCUAUAGCCUGAUGCUCUUGGAUCGUCCAUGCACCUGACAAGGACGAAGAGCCGACGGUGAAGGUCCAAGCUUUCGCCGGUGAUUUCUGCAAGUUUCCGGCCACCAUUCAAGGCGCAUUCGACUGAAGCUAAUUUUCAGAAACUGCUAGCUGGUGUGUUGGAUUCCCAGUUCGUCAUUAUCUUUGUUCAACCGAGCUUGCUUGGAGUAGUUUUUGAAGGACUCCAGUUACCCGAGGAACAGAAGGUUCGCAACUCUCGGAGUACGUGAGAGAAAGCAUCAGAAUCCAGGUAGGGAUUCAGGACUUUCCUCGGUUGGUGAUUUUCUUUUAUAUUUUUAUUAAUGUGAUGCAUGUUAAGUAAUAUGGUUUGAUUAAGUUCAAAUGCGACGCAUACUAACCAAAUCGUGAGAAAUGUGUGAUGGCUUGAGAGCGAAGGGUGGCUCUGACUUCCUUGGGUUCGAUCCCCAAAACCUCCGGAGGGUUAGUUACGCUGGUCGUCCGGGUAUUCCGAUCGUAAUGACGGGCUCGGUAUGUGUGCGUAGCUAGGUAGCGGACGCUCUCGCUACGCUUACCUGGUGAUGAAGUAAAUUGAGGUAAGGUCGUGUAGUGGGUCUAUGGGACCGGCCAUCUGGUAAGAUUCAGCGCGCGUAUUCAAUUUUGUAUCAUGCAUCGAUUUUUGAGUUAAAAAGCAUUCUUAUAAAGUUUGUCGUUCUUUUAAAUAUUUGGUUUAAGUAUGUUUCAUACUGGAGCGCUCCCAAUACUGGUCUAUUGAUUUUCAAACCUAGUCGAGUUAGAGUUCCUGUUGAGCAGCAAGGACGAAAGCUCACCCCUACAACAGUAUGGAUGCAGGUACUGUGCACUGGUGACGGGACAGUAGGGUGUGCGAAACAAAUUCGGUAAAUCUUUGUUUGGUUUCCAAUCUGAAUUCUACUUCGCAAUCUUCGUGUUCAGGACUUGUUGAAAUCUAGUCUCGUGUCAAAAUGAGUUGAAUUCUUUUCAUAGGGAUUCGUACCUCAUGCUAGGAGAAGUUACGCUAGCGGUGUUGCGCUUAACGGAGACUGCCUCGCUUGCAAGAUGAAAGGAGAAGUUCCGCUAGCGGUGUUGCGCUUAGCGGAGACUGUCACUUGCAAGAUGAAACAUGAAGUUCCGCUAGAGGUGUUGUGCUUAUCUGAAACUGUCUCGCUUGCAAGAUGAAAGGAGAAGUUUCGCUAGCGGUGUUGCGCUUAUUGGAGACUGUCGCUUGCAAGAUGAAAAGGGAAGUUCCGCUAGCGGUGUUGCGCUUAGCGGAGACUGUCGCUUGCAAGAUGAAAAGGGAAGUUCCGCUAGCAGUGUUGCGCUUAGCGGAGACUGUCUCGCUUGGCGAUUGGUAUCUGCUUUUUGACGGUUACUUCGGAUAGACGCUUCGUCUGACAGCGUCUGACACGUGGUUGUCAUGCAUUGGAUUGGCGUGCGGGUGUACGUCUUCUCAGCACGCCCGUCUCUUCGCCAUUAAUGCAAGUAAAUAUCAUUUUUGUAACCGAGGCGACGCCUCAGUUAAUCUAGAAAGUGGGUGUGAUCGUGGGGCACGUGUACGGUUCUCGUGUGAUGUUGUUUUUCAGCGGACGGCCUGGAUUUGUUUGAUGUUGACAUAAAAGAGGGGGAAACCAAGGGGCUUUUGACAUUUUCUGCACUUCAAACCUAACUCGUCGUCUUCAAGCUUUAUUCUCUGAGAGUUAGAGGAGUACUUUCUGCAAGUCGAGUGAGGGCGUUGUCUUUGGGAGAAAGAGAUUCGUCGGAGCGAAGAUAACAUCUCGAAGCACAUGAGUUUCCAAAUUUCAGGAACCUCACUGCCGGAACCACUAGACAUCGAACCAUUACAAACCAUACCCUGGGAAGUAGAUAUGGCUCGUGGUGGGCGUCCAGAAAGUUCGACGGCAAGGGAGGAAACUACUGCCCGUAAGCAGCGCGAAGAGAGGCUAGCUAGCAAUAGUACAGCUAGCGGUUCCACUAACGGGGAAGAAGCCGGUGGUGAAGAAAUAGAAUCGACCUGGGUCCAUCGCGACGGUACACUAGUUGACGAGGCGGGCGGUCCGAUGACUAUGUCAGCUGUUAAUCAUCUGAAGCGGGUGUUUCGCCUCCCUGGCGUGGUGAAGUUGUGUCCGUCGACGAGGGAGGAGAAAGCGUCAAUUCUACCGGCAGGGUUCGCCGCUGUUCAUGAGGCCAUCUUCCGCUAGGGGGUGACAUUUCCGCUACUGCCAAAUCUCCAUAUUUUAGUUUGCGAUUUCGACCUUGCUUUUGGGAAAAUUUUCCCUAAUAUGUGGAGGUUGCUGAUGGCGCUGAACUCACUCUGGCGGUUGUUUGGCUGCGAAGGUCCGACCGUGGAGGAGGUGCUUCACUUCUACAAACUUGUUUAUGUGAGGCGCCAAGGUUGUAGCUGACAAGUCAACGUUACCUGUCGUUAGGGAGCGCCUAAGUUGAUUAAGAACUUGAAGGAUUCGAUGUCCCCUUGGUGGUCGACCUUCUGCGUUGCGACCGCAAGGUGGGAGUACGACGCAGGGGUGAACACACAAACCCCAACAUUUAGGAUUAAGUUAGAGUUUCAACCUAUCCGAGGUUGUCGCUAACCUUGCUAACUAACGCGCUGUGACCUCUUAGUUGUCUUCCUUUACUCCCUUUUUUUUUGUUUUUAAUCACUUGUUUU